GACGAACGCUGGCGGCGUGCUUAACACAUGCAAGUCGAACGGAAAGGCCCUGCUUUUGUGGGGUGCUCGAGUGGCGAACGGGUGAGUAACACGUGAGUAACCUGCCCUUGACUUUGGGAUAACUUCAGGAAACUGGGGCUAAUACCGGAUAGGAGCUCCUGCUGCAUGGUGGGGGUUGGAAAGUUUCGGCGGUUGGGGAUGGACUCGCGGCUUAUCAGCUUGUUGGUGGGGUAGUGGCUUACCAAGGCUUUGACGGGUAGCCGGCCGGAGAGGGUGACCGGCCCAGUGGGGGAUGGGAGGCGGCCCGAGCGCAUCCGGGGGGAAGGAGGGGGGAAUUUGGCAGAAGGGGCGGAGGCCUGAAGAAGCAACGCCGGGGGGGGGAUGCGGGCCUUGGGGUUGAAACCCGUUUUCGCUGGGAAGGAAGCGGGGGGGAGGGUAAUGGGUAAAGAAGCACGGGCAAAUACGGG
rnacentral:rRNA from 1 species